UGGGGAAUUUUGGACAAUGGGCGCAAGCCUGAUCCAGCAAUGCCGCGUGCAGGAUGAAGGCCUUCGGGUUGUAAACUGCUUUUGUACGGAGCGAAAAGGUCUGCCCUAAUACGGUGGGCUCAUGACGGUACCGUAAGAAUAAGCACCGGCUAACUACGUGCCAGCAGCCGCGGUAAUGCGUAGGGUGCAAGCGUUAAUCGGAAUUACUGGGCGUAAAGCGUGCGCAGGCGGUUAUGCAAGACAGAGGUGAAAUCCCCGGGCUCAACCUGGGAACUGCAUUUGUGACUGCAUCGCUGGAGUGCGGCAGAGGGGGAUGGAAUUCCGCGUGUAGCAGUGAAAUGCGUAGAUAUGCGGAGGAACACCGAUGGCGAAGGCAAUCCCCUGGGCCUGCACUGACGCUCAUGCACGAAAGCGUGGGGAGCAAACA
rnacentral:rRNA from 1 species